UACGAAGGGGGCGAGCGUUAAUCGGAAUUACUGGGCGUAAAGAGCGCGCAGGCGGUCGGAUCAGUCGAAUGUGAAAGCCCCCGGCUCAACUGGGGAGGGUCAUUCGAUACUGUCCGACUCGAAGGCAGGAGAGGGAAGCGGAAUUCCCGGUGUAGUGGUGAAAUGCGUAGAUAUCGGGAGGAACACCAGUGGCGAAGGCGGCUUUCUGGCCUGUUCUUGACGCUGAGGCGCGAAAGCUAGGGGAGCAAACGGG
rnacentral:rRNA from 1 species